ACUUGUGAUUAUGAAGGGUGCACAAUUCCAACAUCUACUUUCUGUGAACUUGAGGACCAAGAAAGUCAGUGGUGGAAAUCAAAGCUAUUCUAAAAGUCUUCAAAUCAGUGGAGCCAAUGGUCUAAAUCCUGAAGUCUCAAAAGCCAGGAGUUCUGAUGUAUGCAGGAGUAGAGGGCUAUCGCAGCUUUGGGACUGAGCAAAUUCCAGCACCAACCCCUACAUUCAUAUUCUGUCUGGUCUCUCUAUGGUCAGGUUGAUGACUGCCACACUGGGGAGGGUGAUCUGCCUUACUCUGUCCAAGGAUUUAAUGCUAAUCUCUUCUGGAAACACAUUUAAAAAUGAUCAGCUAUAUUUUCAAUCCAUUAGACUAGUCAAAUUGACAUAUAAAAUUAGUCAUUACAACAAUUGUCUAAAAUGAAACAAAAAAACACAUAUUAACAAUUAUUGUUCAUAUAUGCUAAAAAUGAAAUAUAUAAAAUGUUCUUUAACAUUCUUCCCGAAAAAAAGAAAGUAUGUUUUAGAACACCACAAAAUAAGUGAAGGCCAAGCAACAGCUGUGGAGGAGUGGGAAACGUCUUGCUGAAUUCCUCAGAGUAUUGACUUGCUUCAGCUAGUGUAAAUGAAUAAAUAAAUCUAUUUACUUUGCCCCUACUUCUGUCACAUUUCUUGUGAGAAUUUGAUUCACAUUCGGAGUCUGAAAUGGAGAGAAAAAUAGAAUACUGCUUGGCUUCUGCUGUGUCAGAUAAUUACUUUCAAAAUCUGUAACCAAAAGCCAGUUGGGAUUGGAACUGUGUUUUUGUUCCUGUGAAACAGAAAUUCUGUCAUAUGCAACUACAGGGCUGAUACUACUGAAAAUUACCUUUACACUUAGUGAGCAUGAGUGACUAGCUUAUCCAGUUAUAAGUGGUGGGAAAACUGUUAGAAGAUAAUUCUAGAAAUUUAGCAUGUCCUCUCACAAUAUAAACAUUGUGUAUCUAAUAGAUUUAUUAUUUUG
rnacentral:lncRNA from 1 species